rnacentral:rRNA from 1 species
AGAUGGCGACCGGCGCACGGGUGAGUAACACGUAUCCAACCUGCCGAUAACUCGGGGAUAGCCUUUCGAAAGAAAGAUUAAUACCCGAUGGCAUAAUUAGACCGCAUGGUCUUAUUAUUAAAGAAUUUCGGUUAUCGAUGGGGAUGCGUUCCAUUAGGCAGUUGGUGAGGUAACGGCUCACCAAACCUUCGAUGGCUAGGGGUUCUGAGAGGAAGGUCCCCCACAUUGGAACUGAGACACGGUCCAA